AUGGCGCUGGUCUCGCUCUCGCUCUCGCCCCCGUGCGCGCCCGCCGCCUCCUCGUCUUCCAGCCACCUCCUCACGCCGCCGUCGCUCGCCGGCGGCAGCGGUAGCAUCAGGAGGGGAGGGCCACGGGGCAACGCCGGCCUCGCUCUGACGCUGCCGGCCGGGCGUCGGGGUCGGGAGUGGAGGGCGCCGGUGUCGUCCUUCUCCUCCUUCCUGCCGUCCUUCUUCACGGGGAGCAAGAAGAAGGAGGAGGAGGACGCCAAGAAGGCGGCGACGCUCAAGGAGGAGCUGCUGGCGGCCAUCGCGCCGCUCGACCGCGGCGCCGAGGCCACGCCCGAGGACAAGGACCGCGUCGACCAGAUCGCGCAGCAGCUGGAGGAGGUGAACCCGACCAAGGAGCCGCUCAAGUCCGAGCUCCUCAACGGCAAGUGGGAGCUCCUCUACACCACCUCCACAUCCAUUCUCCAGCCACAGAGGCCAAAGUUUCUGAGGCCAUACGGGAUGAUUUACCAAGCGAUCAACACCGACACGUUACGAGCUCAAAACAUGGAGACACUGCCUUACUUUAAUCAGGUUACUGCCAACUUGGUGCCUCUCAACUCUAGAAAAGUGGCAGUUAGGUUUGAUUACUUCAAAAUAUUUAGCCUGAUCCAAAUCAAAGCACCUGGAAGUGGCAAAGGUGAACUAGAGAUCACAUAUCUUGAUGAAGACCUCAGGGUUUCGAGAGGCGACAAGGGGAACUUGUUCGUGCUGAAGAUGGCCGACCCAUUAUACCGAGUUCCGUUGUAA
rnacentral:rRNA from 1 species